AAUCAACGCUGGCGGCGUGCCUAACACAUGCAAGUCGAACGCGAAAGCCCGCAAGGGUGAGUAGAGUGGCGCACGGGUGAGUAACACGUGGACAACCUGCCUUCGAGUGGGGAAUAACCUUCCGAAAGGAGGGCUAAUACCGCAUAACACCUCGGGACACAAGUUCUGGGGUUGAAAAGAGCAAUUUGCUCGAAGAGGGGUCCGCGCCUGAUUAGCUAGUUGGUGAGGUAACGGCUCACCAAGGCUUCGAUCAGUAGCCGUCCUGAGAGGGAGCACGGCCACACUGGAACUGAGACACGGUCCAGACUCCUACGGGAGGCAGCAGUGGGGAAUUUUGGCAAUGGGCGAAAGCCUGACCAAGCAACGCCGCGUGGGUGAUGAAGUAUCUUGGUACGUAAAACCCUUUCGGCAGGGACGAACCUAAUGACGGUACCUGCGGAAGAAGCCCCGGCUAACUCCGUGCCAGCCGCCGCAGUAAU
rnacentral:rRNA from 1 species